GACUACCUAGCUCAGUGGUUAAAGCACUUAUCCAUAUUUGCAGGAGGUCUCAGAUUCAAUUCCUGGUGUAGUCA